UCGGACGUGGUGUAUGGAACACAGUGGGACUGUAUACCAAGAAAACUUUCGACUAUGCUCCCGCAGUCCGGGGUUCGACUCCCCGCGUCCGAA